UACGUAGGUGGCAAGCGUUGUCCGGAUUUAUUGGGUUUAAAGGGAGCGUAGGCCGCCUGGUAAGCGUGUUGUGAAAAAUACCGGCUCAACCGGUAUCCUGCAGCGCGAACUGCCUGGCUUGAGUGUGCGCAACGUUGGCGGAAUUCGUCGUGUAGCGGUGAAAUGCUUAGAUAUGACGAAGAACUCCGAUUGCGAAGGCAGCUGACGGGAGCACUACUGACGCUGAAGCUCGAAAGUGCGGGUAUCGAACAGGAUUAGAUACCCUGGUAGUCCGCACGGUAAACGAUGGAUGCCCGCUGUUUGCACAUAGUUGCAAGCGGCCAAGCGAAAGCGUUAAGCAUCCCACCUGGGGAGUACGCCGGCAACGGUGAA
rnacentral:rRNA from 1 species